AGAGUUUGAUCAUGGCUCAGAACGAACGCUGGCGGCGUACUUAACACAUGCAAGUCGGACGAGAAAGGGGACUUCGGUCCCCGAGUAUAGUGGCGCACGGGUGCGUAACACGUAAGUAAUCUGCCCCGAACUCCAGGAUAACCCUCCGAAAGGAGGGCUAAUACUAGAUAGGGUCCCCGAGGUGUAGGCUGCGGGGGGAAAACGGGCCUCUGUUUCAUGCUCGCGGUUCGGGAUGAGCUUGCGGCCCAUUAGCUUGUUGGUAGGGUAAUGGCUUACCAAGGCUACGAUGGGUAGCUGGUCUGAGAGGAUGAUCAGCCACACUGGCACUGAGACACGGCCCAGACUCCUACGGGAGGCAGCAGUGGGGAAUAUUGCGCAAUGGACGAAAGUCUGACGCAGCAACGCCGCGUGAGGGAUGACGGCCCUCGGGUUGUAAACCUCUUUCAGCAGGGACGAAGCGAGAGUGACGGUACCUGCAGAAGAAGGACCGGCCAACUACGUGCCAGCCGCGGCGGUAAUUC
rnacentral:rRNA from 1 species